rnacentral:lncRNA from 1 species
UGGCAUCAGAUAGAGCUAGUGAUGCCAGAGAAAAAGUGGCAGGAGCAAUGGACUACGGAAAAUAUAAAGCAGCUAAUGCCUAUGAUGAUGCUAAUGACCUGGCUUCAUAUUGGGUGGGUGAUUCCAGAGAUGCAAUGGCAGAAGGAAUGAAUUAUGGUAGAAGCAGGCUUACUAAUGCUUAUGAUGAAGCCAAACAAAAAUUAGGGAGGGAUACAAAUAUGGCAUCAGAUAGAGCUAGUGAUGCCAGAGAGAAAGUGGCAGGAGCAAUGGACUGCGGAAAAUAUAAAGCAGCUAAUGCCUAUGAUGAUGCUGAUAACAUGGCUUCAUAUUGGUUGGGUGAUUCCAGAGAUGCAAUGGCAGAAGGAAUGAAUUAUGGUAGAAGCAGGCUUACUAAUGCUCGUGAUGAAGCCAAACAAAAAUUAGGGAGGGAUACAAAUAUGGCAUCAGGUAGAGCUAGUGAUGCCAGAGAAAAAGUGGCAGGAGCAAUGGACUGCGGAAAAUAUAAAGCAGCUAAUGCCUAUGAUGAUGCUGAUAACAUGGCUUCAUAUUGGUUGGGUGAUUCCAGAGAUGCAAUGGCAGAAGGAAUGAAUUAUGGUAGAAGCAGGCUUACUAAUGCUUAUGAUGAAGCCAAGCAAAAAUUAGGGAGGGAUGCAAAUAUGGCAUCAGAGAAGCUCGGUGAU